rnacentral:rRNA from 1 species
GACCCGUCUUGAAACACGGACCAAGGAGUCUAACAUGUGUGCGAGUCAUUGGGUGCACUAAACCCAAAGGCGCAGUGAAAGCAAAGGCCGCCUUCGCGGCUGAGGGACGAUCCUGUCACAAGGCGCAGUCCCGGCGCUUCGCGUCGACCUCGUUUCGUGCGGAGCAGCAAGAGCAUACACGUUGGGACCCGAAAGAUGGUGAACUAUGCCUGGCCAGGUUGAAGUCAGGGGAAACCCUGAUGGAGGACCGUAGCGAUUCUGACGUGCAAAUCGAUCGUCGGAGCUGGGUAUAGGGGCGAAAGACUAAUCGAACCAUCUAGUAGCUGGUUCCUUCCGAAGUUUCCCUCAGGAUAGCUGGUGCUCGUUAUCGAGUUUCAUCCGGUAAAGCGAAUGAUUAGAAGCCUUGGGGGCGAAACGCCCUCAACUUAUUCUCAAACUUUAAAUGGGUGAGAUGCGUGACUUGCUUGAGUGAAGUCGCGCUGUUACGAAUCGGAGUGCCAAGUGGGCCAUUUUUGGUAAGCAGAACUGGCGCUGUGGGAUGAACCAAACGUCGAGUUAAAGUGCCAAAGUGGGCGCUCAUCAGAUCCCAUGAAAGGUGUUGGUUGCUUAAGACAGCAGGACGGUGGCCAUGGAAGUCGGAAUCCGCUAAGGAGUGUGU